AGAGUUUGAUCAUGGCUCAGAACGAACGCUGGCGGCGUGCCGUAACACAUGCAAGUCGAACGUGAAAGGGGUAGCAAUACCCCGAGUAAAGUGGCGCACGGGUGAGUAAUGCAUCGGUAACCUGCCUUGAAGGCUGGGAUAACCCUCCGAAAGGGGGGCUAAUACCGGAUAAUAAAGAGGGAUGAAAGUUUUCUCUUUUAAAGGAUCUCCGCAAGGAGGGGUCACUUCAAGAUGGGCCCAUGUCCCAUUAGUUAGUUGGCAGGGUAACGGCCUACCAAGACGAUGAUGGGUAGCCGGUCUGAGAGGAUGAUCGGCCACACUGGCACUGAAACACGGGCCAGACUCCUACGGGAGGCAGCAGUGAGGAGUUUUGCGCAAUGGGCGAAAGCCUGACGCAGCAACGCCGCGUGAGGGAAGAAGGCCUUCGGGUUGUAAACCUCUUUCGACUGGAAAGAAGCCCUCUGCAAAGAGGGUGACGGUACCAGGAGA
rnacentral:rRNA from 1 species